rnacentral:rRNA from 2 species
GAGUUUGAUCGUGGCUCAGGAUGAACGCUAGCGGCAGGCUUAAUACAUGCAAGUCGAGGGGUAACAUGGGUAGCAAUACCUGAUGACGACCGGCAAACGGGUGCGGAACACGUACGCAACUUUCCCAAAACUGGUGAAUAGCCUUUCGAAAGAGAGAUUAAUACACCGUAACACAACGAGGAGGCAUCUCUUUGUUAUUAUAGACUUCGGUCGGUUUUGGAUGGGCGUGCGCCUGAUUAGGUAGUUGGCGGGGUAACGGCCCACCAAGCCUGCGAUCAGUAACUGGUGUGAGAGCACGACCAGUCACACGGGCACUGAGACACGGGCCCGACUCCUACGGGAGGCAGCAGUAAGGAAUAUUGGUCAAUGGACGAAAGUCUGAACCAGCCAUGCCGCGUGAAGGAUGAAGGUCCUCUGGAUUGUAAACUUCUUUUAUCUGGGACGAAAAAAGCUCAUUCUUGAGCGCUUGACGGUACCAGAGGAAUAAGCACCGGCUAACUCCGUGCCAGCCGCCGCCGUAAG